AGCCGGGCGUUGCGUUUCAUGGCCCUCCUGUGAGAGAGAACGGGGAGCAGAAUGGAAUCUGCACCCGCGCCCGGGCCCUUGAUCUGGGGCUCCAGGCCACACCACCUCCCUCCCUACCGACUCGGGGACGGGGACACCAACCUUUGCGUCCCAGCUGGGUCAGGUUUUAUGGGAAAGGUGUAGGUGGGCGUCCCUGAAAGUCCAGGACUCGGCUAGAGGCGGCAGGGCCGGGGAGGAGAUGUUUUCUGGCCAUUACCGCAGGAAAUAGGACGCGUGCUUUUCACAGGCGCCUACAGCUCCUGGGACACUUUCUGGGACACUUCAGCUCCAGGUCCAUCCCCAGCGCCUUCCCCUCUUCCUGAAACCCCUGUCCCCUCCUCUUUCACACCCUUGUUACCAGACGGUUUCCAUGGAGAUGGGCCUAUUCCUCGAUUUCCCCUCCUUAAAAGAGGGAGCCGAGGAAACCUGACCCGAGGACGCUGGAUGGAAAGAAACAAAUUAUCCCUUGGCUCAGGCUCUGGUCCAGAGUGGAAACUGAGGAAGGCUGCCCCAGAAGGACAGAACAGCCAGGUAAAGCUGCAGAGAUCCCUGAGGGCAGGCCUGGAAGGCUGAGCCAAGCCCGCAGUGACCCGGCAGGGUUGAGCUUGGAGGCCUCGGGCCUCGGACCAGUGACCAGCUGAGGGGCAUCUUCUUCACAGACGCCAUCUCUGCCUUUUGCCCUCCCAACUGGCUUGGGGAGGAAAGCCCUGAUGCUACAUCAAAGUCCACCCAGACUAUAGAAGAAUGAACUGAGGAACCUUGCUGCCACUGUGACCAGAUCCAGAGGUAUCUUGUCCCAUACACAUUGAAGGACUUGAGCCCAGGAGUUCAAGACCUGCCUGGCUAGUAUAGCAAGAUCCCAUUCUCCACAAAAAAAGGGAGGAAAAGACAAAAAAUAAUAAUUAUUUUUAUUAAUGAAAAAUAAAUGGAAGAUAAAAUAGACAAGGGAAUGAAGGCAAGGAAAGCUUCAAAGGGGAACUGUGAUCUAUAGAAAAGUAAAAUACUCAUAAUAGCCAAAAUAAUGUUGAAAGAGAAGAACCAAGUUGGAGGGUUACACUUUUUGAUUUCAAAACUUACAACAAAGCUAAAAUAACCAAGAUAAUGUGGCAUUAGUAUAAAGACAGAUACAGAGACUGACGGAUCAGAAUUGAGAUUCAAGAAAUAAACCCUGACUUAUUGUUAUCAUCAAUUGAUCUCUGGUAAAAAUGCAAGGCGAUUCAAUGGAGGAAAGACCAGCUUUGCUAAAAAACGGUGCUUGGGAAAUUGGAUAUUCACAUUCAAGACGAGUUAAAGCUCUUACCUCAUGCCAUACAAAAAAAUUUACUCAAAAUGGAUCCCAAAAUCAUAGACCUAUAUGUAAGCCUCCUGGAGGUCAGAGGACCUUGUUUUUUGCUCCCUGGAGCUGGACAUGUAGUGGGCAUUGUCUUGUUGUCAUAGUCAGGAGGCCAGAUCCUAGCCCUUGCCACUGAUGUUGAAUUAACUCACUUUACUCACUAACUUCUCUGGUGCUUAGUGUCCCUACAAUAAAAUGGAAGCUGAUAAGAGAGACCAACAUGGCCUUGGGCAUGAAGAGGAAGAGGAGAGUCACUGCUGCAGCGGGUGUUGUCAUAGACAGAUCUGGCAGGGCAAGAAGUGAGGGGGGAGGAGGUGGGAGGAACCAGAAAGGCAGACGCCACUCAGAUGCUGGCCCAGGGGAAGCCCCAGGAGUUGAGCGCAAGUCCUCCAGAGAACACAAGUUUGAACGUGGAGAGAAAGAAACCGACAAGAGCGGUGCAGCUGGAGAUAGCAAUGGAGGGGAAUUGGAAAGAAAAUGUGUGUGAAGUUUCUGCUACAGAAGAAGCAAGUCUCCCAGGAGUAUGUAGAGAGGCAAGGA